rnacentral:pre_miRNA from 1 species
AAUAUAUGACGCCGUUGACUUUUUGUCCAACGUUUGACCAUUCGUCUUAUUAAAAAAAAUUAUGUAAUUAUUAUUUAUUUUAUUAUGACUUGAUUCGUCAUCAAAUAUUUUUUAAGCAUGACAUAAACAUUUUCAUAUUUGCAAAAAAAAAAAAUAAAACGAAUGGUCAAACGUUAGUCGAAAAGUCAACGGUGUCAUACAU